rnacentral:rRNA from 1 species
AGAGUUUGAUCCUGGCUCAGGACGAACGCUGGCGGCGUGCUUAACACAUGCAAGUCGAACGGUAAGGCCCUUCGGGGUACACGAGUGGCGAACGGGUGAGUAACGCGUGAGUAACCUGCCCUUGACUCUGGGAUAACAGAUGGAAACGUCUGCUAAUACCGGAUACUCAACCUCCUGGGCAUCCAGAGGGUUGGAAAGCUCCGGCGGUCAAGGAUGGACUCGCGUCCUAUCAGCUUGUUGGUGGGGUAAUGGCCUACCAAGGCGACGACGGGUAGCCGGCCUGAGAGGGCGACCGGCCACAUUGGGACUGAGAUACGGCCCAAACUCCUACGGGAGGCAGCAGUGGGGAAUAUUGCACAAUGGGCGCAAGCCUGAUGCAGCAACGCCGCGUGCGGGAUGACGGCCUUCGGGUUGUAAACCGCUUUCAAUUGUGACGAAGCUUUUUGUGACGGUAGCAGUAGAAGAAGCACCGGCUAACUACGUGCCAGCAGCCGCGGUGAUACGUAGGGUGCGAGCGUUGUCCGGAUUUAUUGGGCGUAAAGAGCUUGUAGGCGGUCUGCUGCGUCGAAAGUGCAAACUCAGGGCUCAACCCUGAGCCUGCUUUCGAUACGGGCUGACUAGAGGAAGGUAGGGGAGAAUGGAAUUCCCGGUGGAGCGGUGGAAUGCGCAGAUAUCGGGAGGAACACCAGUGGCGAAGGCGGUUCUCUGGACCUUUCCUGACGCUGAGAAGCGAAAGCGUGGGGAGCGAACAGGCUUAGAUACCCUGGUAGUCCACGCCGUAAACGGUGGGUACUAGGUGUGGGGGACAUUCCACGUUCUCCGUGCCGUAGCUAACGCAUUAAGUACCCCGCCUGGGGAGUACGGCCGCAAGGCUAAAACUCAAAGGAAUUGACGGGGCCCCGCACAAGCGGCGGAGCAUGCGGAUUAAUUCGAUGCAACGCGAAGAACCUUACCUGGGUUUGACAUAUGCCGGAAGCGUUCAGAGAUGGGCGUGCCUUUUUGGUCGGUUUACAGGUGGUGCAUGGCUGUCGUCAGCUCGUGUCGUGAGAUGUUGGGUUAAGUCCC